UUGCUUUGGCAGCACAUAUACUAAAAUUGUAACAAAACAUGGUCCCUGUGCAAGGAGCACAUGCAAAUUAAUGAAGCGUUCCAUAGGGGG
rnacentral:snRNA from 1 species